AGGGAGGGAUCGUCUCUUCCGAAAUGAGCAGCCACAGUGAGGCUUGGGGUUUAUGGUCUGAGGCCCUGUUGGUUCUCCGUGGGCUAUGAAGACGGCAGCUUUGGGAGACAGGACGAGGCCACGGAGGGGUAGCGCCCACGAUACCACCCGUUUACCACAUCCGAGCUAGGGGCUGAGGGUUAAAAGCAGAGACAAGACAGAGCGGGUCAUUCAUCUCAGUAGAAUGCCCUUUAUUGAAGGAGGGAGGAGGCCUUACAUACAGCCCCACAGCACAACCCCGAGGGCAGAAGUUCCCUACAGAUGUUUUACAUUCUUGCUUCCUAGCUGUUUACACGGAAUGCAGGAUACACAAACAAGGAACCAGUAAGCUGUUUUAGGAGGAAGGAAACCAGCAGGGAAUCAGCAAAGGGAGGACAUCUGGUCAAGGAGGCCUGUGAUGACGGAGACUGGUCCUUACACCCAUUUUUUGGAGGAUACAUACACAGAAGAGGACUUCAUGCCCCAGCCUGGACAGGAAGCCUCUGCAGGGUCAGCUACUACUAGGCCGAGAUUCCAGAGUCACACACAAGCCGGCAGCCUGGGGAACUUCCCACGCUCCAGGUUAUGUCUGGGCCUCUGCACUGCAGUGUUCUGAACAAGCCAGGGAAGUGAGCUGCUGAGCCAGCAGCCUGUGGGGGUUGCAGGCCUCUGAACUGGGCACACCGGGGGAGGGCCGAGCCCUUGUGGAGACAUGUUAGAGAGGUCAGGCAUCCCUGGCCUCCGGUGAGCUGGGGUUCUGUCCUCGCGGGGCGCUGGCCUCCCUCCUUCAGUCUCACCAGCCUGGACUGCCCUGGGGAAACCAGCCUGGCGCACC